rnacentral:rRNA from 1 species
AACGKAGCACAGAGGAGCUYCGCUCYUGGGUGACGAGUGGCGGACGGGUGAGUAAUGUCUGGGAAACUGCCCGWGGAGGGGGAUAACUACUGGAAACGGUAGCUAAUACCGCAUAACGUCGCAAGACCAAAGAGGGGGACCUUCGGGCCUCUUGCCAUCGGAUGUGCCCAGAUGGGAUUAGCUAGUAGGUGGGGUAACGGCUCACCUAGGCGACGAUCCCUAGCUGGUCUGAGAGGAUGACCAGCCACACUGGAACUGAGACACGGUCCAGACUCCUACGGGAGGCAGCAGUGGGGAAUAUUGCACAUGGGCGCAAGCCUGAUGCAGCCAUGCCGCGUGUAUGAAGAAGGCCUUCGGGUUGUAAAGUACUUUCAGCGAGGAGGAAGGCRUURWGGUUAAUAACCUYAGCGAUUGACGUUACUCGCAGAAGAAGCACCGGCUAACUCCGUGCCAGCAGCCGCGGUAAUA